UCAGCCUUUUGGCUAAGAUCAAGUGUACUAU
rnacentral:snRNA from 1 species